rnacentral:rRNA from 1 species
GGCACGAAAGCGUGGGGAGCAAACAGGAUUAGAUACCCUGGUAGUCCACGCCGUAAACGAUGUACGCUAGAUCGGUGCGGCUCUGACGCCGGAUCGGUCGAAGUAAAAACGAUAAGCGUACCGCCUGGGGAGUACGGUCGCAAGGCUAAAACUCAAAGGAAUUGACGGGGGCUCACACAAGCGGUGGAGCAUGUUGCUUAAUUCGAGGCAACGCGAAGAACCUUACCUGGGUUUGACAUGGUCGGAUUAACUCCUGGAAACAGGAGCCACGCCCGCAAGGGUGGAACGAUCACAGGUGCUGCAUGGCUGUCGUCAGCUCGUGCUGUGAAGUGUCGGGUUAAGUCCUCUAACGAGCGCAACCCCUGUCGUUAGUUGCUCACGCGUCAUGGCGAGUACUCUAGCGAGACUGCCGGUGUCAAACCGGAGGAAGGUGGGGAUGACGUCAAGUCCUCAUGGCCCUUACAUCCAGGGUUGCAAACGUGCUACAAUGGCGCGCACAAAGCGACGCGAGGCCGCGAGGCGGAGCAAAUCGCAAAAAACGCGCCCCAGUUCGGAUUGCAGGCUGCAACUCGCCUGCAUGAAGUCGGAAUCGCUAGUAAUCGGAGAUCAGCUACGCUCCGGUGAAUAUGUUCCUGAGCCUUGUACACACCGCCCGUCAAGUCAUGGGAGCCGGUAGUGCCCGAAGUCGCCACGAUACUGUGGUGCCUACGGCAAGAUCGGUGACUGGGACUAAGUCGUAACAAGGUAACC